rfam:Perkinsus marinus ATCC 50983 gcontig_1104296576066, whole genome shotgun sequence.
GGCCCUGUGGCGCAACGGUAGCGCAUCUGACUCCAGAUCAGAAGGCUGUCCGUUCGAAUCGGGCCGGGGUCA